rnacentral:rRNA from 1 species
UACGGGGGGGGUAAGCGUUGUUCGGAAUUACUGGGCGUAAAGGGCUCGUAGGCGGCCAACUAAGUCAUACGUGAAAUCCCUCAGCUUAACUGGGGAACUGCGUCUGAUACUGGACGGCUGGAGUUUGGGAGAGGGAUGUAGAAUUCCAGGUGUAGCGGUGAAAUGCGUAGAUAUCUGGAGGAAUACCGGUGGCGAAGGCGGCAUCCUGGACCAAUACUGACGCUGAGGCGCGAAAGCUAGGGGAGCAAACGGG